CGAACGCUGGCGGUGUGCUUAACACAUGCAAGUCGAACGGUAAGGCCCUUUCGGGGGUACACGAGUGGCGAACGGGUGAGUAACACGUGAGUAACCUGCCCUCAUCUCUGGGAUAACAGUCGGAAACGGUUGCUAAUACUGGAUAUGAGCUUGCAAGGCAUCUUGUGGGUUGGAAAGAUUUUUUUUGGUUGGGGAUGGACUCGCGGCCUAUCAGCUUGUUGGUGAGGUAGUGGCUCACCAAGGCUUCGACGGGUAGCCGGCCUGAGAGGGCGACCGGCCACAUUGGGACUGAGAUACGGCCCAAACUCCUACGGGAGGCAGCAGUGGGGAAUAUUGCACAAUGGACGGAAGUCUGAUGCAGCAACGCCGCGUGCGGGAUGACGGCCUUCGGGUUGUAAACCGCUUUCAAUUGUGACGAAGCUUUUUUGUGACGGUAGCAGUAGAAGAAGCACCGGCUAACUACGUG
rnacentral:rRNA from 1 species